GAUGAACGCUGGCGGCGUGCCUAAUACAUGCAAGUCGAGUGAACAGACGAGGAGCUUGCUCCUCUGACGUUAGCGGCGGACGGGUGAGUAACACGUGGAUAACCUACCUAUAAGACUGGGAUAACUUCGGGAAACCGGAGCUAAUACCGGAUAAUAUAUUGAACCGCAUGGUUCAAUAGUGAAAGACGGUUUUGCUGUCACUUAUAGAUGGAUCCGCGCCGCAUUAGCUAGUUGGUAAGGUAACGGCUUACCAAGGCAACGAUGCGUAGCCGACCUGAGAGGGUGAUCGGCCACACUGGUACUGAGACACGGUCCAGACUCCUACGGGAGGCAGCAGUAGGGAAUCUUCCGCAAUGGGCGAAAGCCUGACGGAGCAACGCCGCGUGAGUGAUGAAGGUCUUCGGAUCGUAUAACUCUGUUAUUAGGGAAGAACAAAUGUGUAAGUAACUAUGCACGUCUUGACGGUACCUAAUCAGAAAGCCACGGCUAACUACGUG
rnacentral:rRNA from 1 species